rnacentral:rRNA from 1 species
UACAGAGACUGCAAGCGUUAUUCGGAUUCACUGGGCGUAAAGGGUGCGCAGGCGGCCAAGUGUGUCAGGUGUGAAAUCCCGGGGCUUAACUCCGGAACUGCGCCUGAAACUACUUGGCUAGAGCAUUGGAGAGGGAAGUGGAAUUCACGGUGUAGCAGUGAAAUGCGUAGAUAUCGUGAGGAACACCAGAGGCGAAGGCGACUUCCUGGACAAUUGCUGACGCUCAGGCACGAAAGCGUGGGAAGCCAAAGGG